UGGUACUAAUUCGGCAAGCGUCAUAAUGAGAAAACUCAUUCGAAAUGACAUCGCUUAACUUGCGCUGAAUUUUGAUACAUUGCCUAAGGUUUUCUGUGAUUUUACCAUUUAUCUUAUUUAAGUAAUAUAAAUAUCGGCAUAGACUAGUACUUGAAAGAAUUUUUUAGCAAACAAAUAGUUGAUUUUGACCUUUUUAUGUCAAUGAGCUGAGUUAUUACUUCCCUUUUACCAAAGUCGGCCACCGAAUAUUUCAAUGAGCUGACUUGUUACUCCCGUUUUAACGAAUUUGGCAACGGCUAGUUUAUAGCCACACACAAUUUUUCAACUCAUGUUGAUACCGUUUUCAGCUCGAUGCUAAUAAUAAUGUUUGAAUUCGUCUUUGAAAAGAAUAACAUCAGACAUGCCAGCUGGAAGAUAAAAAACCAGACAGGGUCAAUGUGCAGAAGAUGUAAAGUAAUACUGGACCUUCUUGGGAAGAAGUUUCAUAACCUAUUGUAUACCAAAACAAUCCAACAGGAAACACUAAGCCUCUCUGCUCAAUGUCUUUGCUAUAAGAGGAAGAAUAAGAAUGCUGUGCAAAAGGAACUAUUCCUGUCUAUCCCACUUGCAGAUGUAGCAAUGCCAACAAUAUGUGACUAAUUACUCAUAGUACACCUAGUUGCUGUAAUAUUUUCAAAUCAUGAGCAGUCUAUCAUUAUGUGCUGCAACAAUUGUAGAUUUAAGAGUUAUAAACUUCCUCAAGACCGCACUCAUAUUUAUUGAAUAUGUUUGAAUGUAUAAUACAUUUUACAAAUACUCAUUUUAUUAUGCAGUUUUUUAUUAUUUUAAUUCAUUCUAAUAUUAUAUGUCAACUUAAACAACUGUAUGCAUUUUUAAUUUUUACAAUAGUAACCAUGGCGACCACAAAGUUGUGAUCAUUGCCAUGCAACUAACACUUAAAAAUAAAUGAUUCCUGAAUGUAUUGUCAUUUAAUAGGUUUUAAGAUAGCCAUGUGUAAACUAAUUGUACGAUUAAAUGAAUAUUAAACAAA